AAAUAAUUUACACAAUUUUAAACGCGUAAAAAUUAUUUGUUAAACAGCAGCCGUGUAGGACAACAGCCGCGAUGGGUCUGUUGACGAUUUUGAAGAAGAUGAAGCAGAAGGAGCGAGAGAUGAGACUGCUGAUGCUAGGUUUGGACAACGCAGGAAAAACCACCAUCCUGAAGAGUUUAACGGAGAAGAUGUCAGCACCAUCUCUCCAACUCUGGGCUUCAACAUCCAGACACUGGAGCACAAAGGGUUUAAUUUAAAAUUUGGGACGUGGGUGGUCAAAAGUCCCUGCGCUCUUAUUGGAGGAACUACUUUGAGAGCACAGGACGGGCUGGUAUGGGUGGUGGAUAGCGCGGAUAGACUCCGGCUGGACGACUGC